GACGAACGCUGGCGGCGUGCUUAACACAUGCAAGUCGAACGAAGUGGCGAACGGGUGAGUAACGCGUAAUCAACCUGCCCUUCAGCGGGGGACAACAGUUGGAAACGACUGCUAAUACCGCAUACUGAAGGAGGGGCUUGCGUCUGAUUAGAGAGUUGGAGGGGUAACGGCCCACCAAGGCGAUGAUCAGGAGCCGGUCGGAGGUGUUGAAAUGCAACAUUGGGACUGAGACACGGCCCAGACUCCUACGGGAGGCAGCAGUGGGGAAUCUUCCGCAAUGGACGAAAGUCGGACGGAGCAACGCCGCGUGAGUGAUGACGGCCUUCGGGUUGUAAAGCUCUGUUAAUCGGGACGCGGUACCGGAAUAGAAAGCCACGGCUAACUACGUGCCAGCAGCCGCGGUAAUUC
rnacentral:rRNA from 1 species